rnacentral:lncRNA from 1 species
GAAUUCGGGAUCGACGUUGACCGUCACCAUGCUGUUGAGCCGGUAGCUAGCUUUUUUGGGCAAAAAGCAAAAAUCAGAAGGGCAAUUGAAGCUGAAGGAAUUCCUUACACUUAUAUUUCCUCUAACGCCUUUGCCGGAUACUUCCUCCCUACAUUAGGACAACAAAAUGUCACAUCUCCUCCCCGCGAUAAAGUGGUCAUUCUUGGAGAUGGAAAUGUCAAAGGUAACAUCUUACAAAAUCUUUUCAAAACAUUUUUUUUUUCUACAUGGACAUACUCGAUUACCUGUUAAAAUUGUACAUUUGAAAUUCGUGUUUUAGGAGUUUAUGUCACGGAGGAAGACAUCGGGACUUAUACCAUUAAAGCAGUGGACGAUCCAAGAACCUUGAACAAAGUUGUAUACUUUAGGCCUCCUGCCAAUGUUUUGUCUUUCAACGAACUCGUCUCAUUGUGGGAGAAUAAAAUUAAGAGCACCCUCGAGAAAAUUUAUGUUCCAGAGGAUCAACUUCUUAAGAGCAUUCAAGGUUAGUACGAACAAUCUUUUUUUAAUGAAAAUAUUUAUGAUAGCAAUACCUUAAAACAAUUUAAUGUGUAACAUAUAUCAUAUGUUAUACUUAUGCUAUAUGAAUUUUUUUUCUUCUAUGCAGAGUCUCCUUUCCCUGCAAACUUAAUGUUGGCAUUAGGUCACUCCAUGUCAGUAAAAGGAGAUUGUACAAAUUUUGAGAUUGAACCUUCUUUUGGUGUGGAAGCUUCUGAAAUUUAUCCUGAGGUGAAAUACACUACGGUCGACAACUACUUGAAUGCAUUUGUUUGAAGCCAAAACAAACCUCUUCACCAAAAUAAAGCCAAAACAAGUGUAGUAUUGGUCAAAUUUUCAUAUUUUGUGUUUAUGAAUUAUGUUAACCAUUUGUGUUUGUUUCAUCGUCAAAAGAAUCCUUUCACAUUUUGCUUUGUAAUGAUCGAUUUACCAUGUACUGAGUUAAAGUUCAGAUAAUGAACAUCUAUUAGGAUAUGAGUAUCACUAUGCUAAUGCUUACAUGUACAUUUUCAAUGAUUAGAUGUAUGAUGGCAAUGAUGCUAAAUCAUAUAUAUCUAUACCAAUAGUAACAAGUAAAGUCCGUAUCUUUUUAUUUAUGCAAUUAAGUUUGAAUUACUUAGAUGAAAAAUAAAUAGUUGGAAUAACUUUUGUUAUCAUUAGUAAAUUGCAACGAAAAAUUAACGCAAAAACAUACUCCAAUAUUCUUAAAUUAAAUAUGUUCAUGGCUAAUAAUAUCAGUUUUUUUAUUUUUCAAAAAAAAUAAUAAUAAUAUCAGUUUUCGAUUAUUACCACCCUUAUCUUCGAAUAAUGAAGCUGUGGUAAACAAAAAAGACAAAGAAAAAUGAAAUAACACGAUAAAAUAUAAAAAUACAACGUAAAAACUUCAAAGACGAGAAAAAUCCACGACAAUUGUCUAAAAAAUUGUUACAAUGUGUAGACUAUCUUCAACCACCCCAUGACCUCAAUACACACAUACGCUCCAAAAAAAACAUCUAACCUACCCCUUACACAGGAGAAAGAAUAAUGUACAAUAUAAACUUAAAGUGUUUCUGACCGAUGCAUUUUAUAAUGAAGAAUUAGAGCUCAUAUAUAUAUAUAUAUAUGAGAUUUGCUAGAACACGCUAGUUUUUAUGUGGGAGUGUUUUAGCAAGUUACACUUUAAGGUGUAUUUAACUUACUUUUUAGUUAUAACUUGCUAAAACACACAUUCUAAAAAAUAAGUGGGUGUAUCCUAGCAAAUGCCUAUAGGAGUUGCUAACAUACACCCACUUAUUUUUAGGAGGUGUGUUUUAGCAACAUUCACCUUAAAGUGUAUUUAACAACUUUUUAGUUAUAUCUUUGCUAAAACACACCUUAAUAAAAACUAGUGGGUGUAUCCUAGAAAACCCAUGUGUAUAUAUAUAUAUAUAUAUAUAUAUAUAUAUAUAUAUAUAGCAUUGGUCUCCUUUUUCCUUUACAAUUCUAAGAAAUAUGGAUCUUCUUCCACAUAUAUAUUUCCAAUCAACACCAAUAAUCUCUAUCUUAAUUUAAAAUGGUACAUCUACUUCCAUUCUUUCUCCGACGAUUAUAGUUCAAAAAAACUGUCAUACUCCACCAUAAAGACUAUAGUCGCAUGAAGCUAAACCACAUCAAGAAUUUUAACAUUGUCUUUAGUGACGAUCAUACUUCAAAAGAGUUAUCAUACUAAGGUAUCGAAGAAUUUUAACACAUGUAUAUUGCUUGAUUAUUAAAUUACUUAUUAAAUCCUUACACCUGUUAAUAAAAUAUACAAUAUUUUAUUAACUUUUUUUAAAAGAACUUAUUCAAAUUUAAUUUUUUAUUAUUAUAGAGUACAUAGUGUAAAUUUGUUGAUUCAUACUCAACAACCUUACACCUCAUGUUUCCCUUGCAAAAUCCCACCCAUUGAAUAUUAAAUUCAUGAAUAUAUGGCUUCUUAAUAGACUUUUAUAUGGGUACACAAAUUUAAUAAUUUGCACACCCUAAAAACCAAAUUGAUAAGUUGGUUAAUAGGGUGUUCAUGGGUUGGGUCAACCCAUAAAAUCCAAUCAAACUCACUCAAGGAACCCAAAAAAAAAAGGGUUGGGUUGGGUAAUUGGAUGGGUAUGGAAAACCUAUAAAAAUAAAUGGAUUUCGGAUAAAAUCAGACCCAAACCCAAAAAACUCAUUUAUCCAAUAAUGUUAAUAUUUUUUAUCUUUAUUUCAUAGUAGAAGAAAAUUAUAUUUCCAAAACAUACACAUUGUACCCAAUAUAUUGAAAAUCAAAACAUAUUAUAGUUACAAAUUAAGAUGUUGUAUUUUUUGGUUAUUUUGAUACUAAUGCAAUUUUAUGUCAUGCAACUUUAAUUUGUUGCAAGUAUUUUAUGAUGGAGUUUAUUAUUUGAUAUUCUAUGAUGGAUAAAAUUAUAGUAAAAAUAAGUUAAACAUUUUUUUUAAGAAAAUUAAAAAGUAGAGUAAUAUUUAAUUUUUUUUAUAAGGAAUUGUCAUUUAGUCAUUUAAUAUUAAAAAAUAGAAAAAAUAAGUUGGGUAACCCACUACCCAAUCCAACCCAACCCAAAAACUAGUGGGUUUGCCCAACCCAACCCAAAAAUUAGUGGGUUUGCCCAAACCCACCCAAUGGUAUAUCAGGUGAUUAUUUUACCUCACCUAAACCUAUUUGGUUCGGUUUUGGGUUUGGCCAAACCCAACCCAAACCCUAUUGGUUAAUACUCCCUCCGGUCCUAUUUACAAGAAACAAUUUACUUUUUAGAUACAUUAAAUAAUUUAUAUAUUUGGUUUAGAUUCUUGACUAGAUACAUACAUUAUUCAAUGUAUCUAAAAAGUGAUCUUUCUCUUGUAAACAGGAUCGGAGAGAGUAUAAAACAUACUUAAUGAUAAAAGAAAAAAAAACAAAGACGGAAAGUCGCAUUUAGGUAUAUCUUUAUAAUUUUAAUAUAUUUAAGAACUAUUGUGAAAAUAUUUCACACAGUUAAAAAUUUAAAAUUUUGGAUCUGUAUGGGCACAACUUUUUUAUCUAUUCAUUAUCAUUUAGAUAUACUAUAAUUUGUAUCUAUGAGAAUUGGCUACGGUGUUAAAUUCCAACAUUGCAAUCUUUCAUUCUUAAAUUCCAACAUUGCAAUCUUUCAUUCUGUUUUCUUUUCAAGUGAGCAUCAAUUGCAUCAUCAUGAAGCUCAAAUAAUCAUUCUUGAUCAAAAAUAAUAAUAAUCAUUGUUCAUAAUAUUUAUUUGGGGUGUUUGCGGUGCGGUUUGGAUCGAUUAUUAGGUAAAAUGCCAUCCAAUCUAAAAUAAAAAUCAAUGUGGUUCGGUUUGAAUGACUAUUCUAAAAAAAUCUGAACCGAUCUCAUCCAAAUAUAUGCGGUUUAAUUUGGAUUGAUUUUGGGAUAUCCAAAAUGAUUCGAAAUCUGAUUAUAGCGGUUUUUACAAAACAACAUUCAAGCGCAUCCAAAAAUAUUUGAUUUUUUAGAUCGAUUUACGGUUUUAUUUCGGAUUGGUUUGGAUUUGAACAUCCUACUUCUUGAAAAUUGAACAAAGUCUUCAUUUGAGCACUCCGCCUUUUCUAAUUUUUACCAGAGUUUUAGGACUAUGUAGGGAAAUUGUUAAUGGCUGCCCAUCACCUAAUUUCACUUGUGACGGAUUUAUGUUUAAGAACAUGACUCGUAAUGUCUCUGUUUUUUUUUUAGAGAUCAUAAUGUCAUGCUUGAUCACGUAAAAUAUAAAAAGAAAAAAUAUAUGCUUGAUUAUCAACUUGAUACUAAAUGCCUAAAGUGAAGUCAAGAUUUUUAUCAUAAAAAAAAAAAAAAAAAGUUGAAUUCAAGACCAUGUUUUACACUACCGACCCUCCCUAGCCGUCGGUCAAAAAAACAAGCACUUACUUACGUCAUGAGGUUUUUUUUUCUUUUCAAAAGACUUUUCUAAUUUCUUUGGUGUUUCUAUGAAACACGAUAAUGAUUUUUCUUCUUCUCGAAGUAUGACUACGAUUAAUGCUGCAUUUUAACAAAUUGAGAUGGGGUGUAUUGAAUUAGGAUUUUAAAAGACUAUUUUAUUAAAAAAAGUCUUUAAGAUUUUAAAAGACCGUGUGAGAUUGUAUUGAUUCUGUGAGAUUUUAAAAGAUUUUUUAUGUAAAAGACUUUAUACACUCAAGAUUUUAAAAGAUUUAUCACACUGACUUUAAAGAAUUUCAAAGGAUUUUAUAUGAUUUUAAAAUUUCAAAGGAUUCAAUGAAUUUUAGGGGAAAAAGAACAAACUUACAAGCGUGAAUGAUAAAAAUCUCAGAGAGGGGAUGAGAGAUGAGAGAGAGAGAGAGAGAGAGAGAGAGAGAGAGAGAGAGAGAGAGAGAGGAGAAUGGAGAGAUAGAGAAACGAAGAGAGAAAUGAGAGAAUAGGGAGGGAGAGGGAGAGAGGGAGAGAAAGGAGAAGAAAGAGAUAUUAACUUUUAAAAGAAAAACAAUUUCAAGAAAUCUCUUCUUUUCAUGAAAGACUUUUUCUUGUUAAAAUUACACUACAAAAUUCCACAAAAUCCAUCAAAAUCCAAUUUAUUAAACAAUCCUUCGAAAUUUGAAUGAUUUUGAAUAUCGCAAGACUUUUUUUAAGUGAUGAAAAGUCUUGAUUGAAUACCUCAAGACUUUUUUAAAAUGACAAAGAGUCUUGAUUGAGGGUGUGUUUGGUAAAAAAAAAGCUAUAAGCUAGCUGAUAGCUGAUAGCUGAAAAGCUAGCUUAUAGUUGAUGGCUGAUAGCUGAUAGCUUAUAGCUGAAAAGUUAGCUCAUUAAAAUUAAAAGUGUUUGGUAAAAUUAGUUGUUGAAGUGACUAUAAAUAUAAAAUGACAUAAAAGGACGUGCUUGUUUAAUUUUUUUUCUAAUAUCAUAUAUACAAUUUUUAUUACUUAACACAUUUAUUUUUAAAUAUUUAAAUAUAUUUCAAAUUAUUUUCAUCUCCAAAAUAAUAAAUGUAUUUAUGAAUUCAAUCGAACUUUUUUAUUUAACAAUUUUAUUUUAUUUUUAUGAAUUUUAUUUAACUAAACUUGCUUCACUAUUAUAAAUUCUAUAUAAAAUUAUAUAUUAUAUGAAUUAUGAGCAAAGUAAAAAAAAAAACAAAAAAAGUGGACAAGAAAAUUUAAAAAGUCAUAUAUGAUAAACAUGGUUAGUUUAAGAAGAUAGUGGAUAGUUUUUUUUUAUUAUAAUAAAAUAAAAUAAAAUUAAGAAAAGGUUAAAAUUGGAAGAAAGUAUAAAAAGCUACAAGCUAUAAGCUAAAAAGCUACAAGCUAUAAGCUAAAAAGCUACUUGGAUUAGCUUCUUAAAAAACGCUAUAAGCUAAUGAGAAAAGCUUUUUACCAAACACAUCUCAUUUUAUCAAAACAAGCUUAUAAGCUAGCUUUUUUGUGUUACCAAACACAGCCUGAAUAUCACAAGACUUUUUUUAAGUUGCAAAAAGUCUUGAUUGAAUACCACGAGACUUUUUCAUAAUAAAAAAGUCUUUUAAAAUCCUAUAGAAUCCUAAUCCAAUACAAAGAAUCUAUAUAAAAUAAACAAAAUACGUUUUAUUAUUUUUUAAGUUUGACAAAAAUAUCGGAAUAGUCUUGUUAAGCUUUAAAUAAGUCUUUAAGUUUUUUUUUUUUUAGUUUCAAUAGGUCCUUUAAGUUUUUUUAAAUUUCAAAUAUAUCAUUUUAAAUUGUUAAUUUAAUGCACUUAUUUAAAGUUUUUAAAUGGGUAAUAAGGACCUAUUUAAAAAUUGAAAAACUUAAACAACUAACUGUAUAUUUUUGUCAAAUUUAAAGAAUCAAAAGAGGUAUUUCACCUAUAAAAUAUAACAUUUGUCCUAUUUUUAAAUAGGGUUAAUUAAGUUUUUAGUGCCUAUAAAUAUUCACAGUUUUGUUUUUAGUUCCUACAAAAUAAAAUCACACUUUUUAGUCCUUCUGACAUUUUAGAGACCAAAACUGUUGAUGAAUUUUUUUUUACAGGGACUAAAAAUGGUGAUGGAAAAUUUUAUAGGGACUAAAGUGUGAUUUUAUUUUGUAGGGACUAAAAACAAAACUGUAAAUAUUUAUAGGGACUAAAAACUUAAUUAACCCUUUCAAAUAUAGCUGUCAAAACGGACGGCCCGGCCCGUUUGGGGCCGGGUCUAACGGGCUUCGGGCUUUAGCGGGCCGGGCUAAAAAGCCUGGUUGAAAAACAUGAUUGAAAUAUACUACCUGAGCCCGGCCCGUAUUAAAAAUUAUAUAUAUUUUAUUUUUAAAAAGUACUAUAAAACACUACUAUAAAUUUUUUAUAAAUAAUAUUUUUAAUAUGUUUAAAUAAUGUCUAGCACAAAAAUAAAUUGUAAACAUUUUCGUACAAACUUCGUAAACUAAAACGACGAGGAAAAUGAUUUUAAAUAAAUUAGAUACGUUAUGGUUAUAGAUAUUUAUAUAUUCGAUCUUUAAAACUAUAAAUAACGAAACGAAUAAAUAUAAUUUUAUAUUACAUUUAUAUUUGUGUUAAUUCAUUGAAUUUUCACUUUUGUUUUUUACUUUGAUAAUCAACUAAGUAAAGAAUUAUUUGAAAAAUAUAUAUAAUUUAUAGGAUUUUUUUUUGUUAUGCUGACUAACGGGCUACCCGCGGCCCGUUCGGGCUAGCCCUAACGGGUACCGGGCUUUUAAGGGCCGGGCUAAAAAACCCUAUUAAAAUUUGGGCUCAAUAUUUUAGGCCCAAACCCUAUAUUUAUUCGGGCUAAACGGGCUGGCCCAUACGGCCCGGCCCGUUUUGACAGCUCUACUUUCAAAUAUAACGUGGGUUAGGUGGUUCUUUGGUACUUUUUGUGUACAACUUGUCGAGAAUAAUAUUAGCUGAUAAAAAAAGAUAUAUAUACACAAACAUAUGAGAUGUUGAAUGGAUUUGUCAAGCUAAGUUAGAAGAAACUACCCAGGUAGGGAUUGGCUUAAUGGGGAAGAGAGGUGCAAAAUCAAGAAGCUUGCACUUCCCUAACUUAAAUUAUCGAUUUCAUUUGUCUUUUUUUUUGUUACGAACUUGUUAUCCUUGGUGUAUAAUUUCAAAGGUUAAUUAGCAACAAAGUUCUCCUCAAGAUGCCUUCAACAAUUGUGAUGUAAAUUUUUAAAACUAAUUUGUAAUUCUGAUGGGUUGGGAAUUAAGUUUUUUCCUUUCAAAAGAAAGGGGUAAGUUUUCUAACCGGAAGUAUUAGGAAUUCAGUUGCGACACCUUUACAAAUCCAAAUACCAAAUUUCUGAUGAUGAUUUAUUAUUUAUUUUGCCGAAAGAUGAAAUGACAAGUCAGUUUAAACUCUCACACACAAAUAAAGAUGUUGGGGUUCAAAUAUCAGCCCUAACGUCUAAUAUAAAAAUUUCGAUAUUUUACCAAUUGAGUUAGAAUUUAUGGACAAACCAAAUUAUGAUUUUAUUAAAGUAAAAAACAAUAAAAAUAUUCAAACAAAAUAUUUAGCAGUAUCAAUCAAGCAACCGAUAACAUUUUAUAUUAGUCAUGAUCUGUGAGACAUUCACAAUGUAUAUAUGGACUGUAUAUAUGGACUGAUUUUUUAAGUGAUCAUCUAAUUUUGAGUAAAUAGACAAUUAUUCUUAAAAUUAUAAGUUUCGUCAAUUAUCCUUCUGAAAUUAACAAAACUUUAAUUAUCCUCCUGAAAUUAUACAACGUUGAUCAAUUUACCCCCUCCGUCAAAUUAUUCUAGUCAACAUGACUUUGCAAAUACAUUCCCCUCAAUUAUCCUUCUGAAAUUAACAAAACUUUAAUCAUCCUCCUGAAAUUAUACAACGUUAAUCAAUUUACCCCCUUCGUCAAAUUCUUUUAGUCAACAUGACGUUUGCAAAUACCUUCCCCUGAAGUUUUGCACUAAUGUGCAAAAUACCCCUUGAACUUGAAAAUUUAUAUAUAUUUUUUCUUAUACCUGACUCAAAAGAUAUUAAAGAGAAACAAUUAAUGGAGCUGGCUAAUCCCCACAGAAAUAUAGCUGGCUAAUCCCGUUUUGUAUCCAUGUAUGCAAUCCUACUUAAUGAGUAUUUUAAACUGCUUCUUUUUCUAUCAAAACAAUGUUGAAUUGAAAUUCUUUUUGGAAUUCUAGCUUAUGACUCCCAACAUGGUGCCAAACACAUCAAUAUUGACAAAUAGUGUUAGGCUCCAUAGGAUACGCUUAUGUUGAUUGUCAUGUGCUCAUUAUAUUCACAAACAAAAUAUUAUUGAGUUUAGAUUUCCAUAUCUUAUGUUGUUUGUCUUUAAUAUCUUUUGAGUCAAGGAUAAGAAAAAAAUAUAUAAAUUUUCAAGUUCGGGGGCAUUUUGCACAUAAGUGCAAAACUUCAGGGGAGGUAUUUGGAAAACGUCAUGUUGACUAAUAGAAAAAUUUGACGGAAGGUGUAAAUUGAUUAACGUUGUGCAAUUUCAGGGGGAUAAUUGAUGAAACUUACAAUUUCGAAGGAUAAUUGUCUAUUUAGUCAUUUACUCCCUCCGUCCCUAAUUAUAAGACCCUUUUGAGAUUUUUUUUGUCCCUUUUUAUAAGACCCCUUUGUUAUUUCCAACUACAUUAAUUAUUUCUUUACAUACAUGCCCCUAUUUAUUAUACAUCUUUUUCUUCAAUCAGCAAUAAGUAGCAUAUGGAAAACAUAAACUAACUCUCUCUCUUAAGGAUAAAAUUGUAAAAACAAUAGUGAUUACAAACAACUUUAAUACAAAUAUCCACUUUCUUAAUUCCCGUGAUUUUAGCAAAAUGAUCUUAUAAUUAGGGAGGGAGUAAUUUUCUUUAAGCCAAGUGAUGUAGUUGCUAAAGUUUUAGCUCUAAAAUGCAAAAAUCGGAGUUAAGAUCUCAACCAUUAUAAUAUAAUAUAAUAUUUCUAUCAAUUGAGUUACAUUAAACAAUAACUUUCAUUUUUAUCACAACAACUACAAGAUUGUCACCGUUUUCCUUUGAUGUGGUUGCAAAAUCGUUUACUAAUGAAAUCUCUAUGACUUCGUUUGUAUUUUAUAGAUGCCAAGUUGCAAUAUUUUUUUCUAAAUUGGUUUUUAGUUCUAUAAUUUAUUUUAUUUACAAGGACUGCAAAAUGACUAAAUUAUAUUUUUGACUCCUCUGAUUAUAAACAUUAGACAUUUAGUCUCUUCAGUUUUUUUUUUUUUAUACGGUAAAUAUAAAAAACAUUAUACAGUUUGAUCUCCUUUUAUACGGUAAAUAUAUAUUGUGAUAUCGUAAGGUAUAAAUAUUUAUAAUGUUUGUAACUUAAAAAGACCAAAUUAAAAGAAAAUAAUUUAAACAUUAGAGUGAAAUCUAAAAAAAAAAAAUUAAUAGACAAAAAGGAAAUUGACCCAAAAAAUAAUAGAAUCGAAUCCUAAUUUUUUUUUUUUGACAAAAGAAUCGAAUCCUAAUAACAGUAACAUUUUCACACUUUUCUUAUAUUUACUUUUGCAUCCAAUUUUCUUAAUUUCAUUUUUCCUUUUCAUCAUAUAUUUAAAUUUUUAGACAAAAGUAAACAUGUGAUUCCUUAACUUAAUUUCAGUUAACUAUUUAAUCAUUUUUCUAUUUUUUUUAUUGCAUUGUUGCUCUUUAAUUUUGGUUCAGUUUUAAAUUCAUAAUUUUCUUUUCUUAUGACCUCUCAAUUUUUAAAUAUAUGGUCUUUCAUAUAUGUUUGCAUAUAAAUAUAAUAUUAAAAAUCUGAAAAUUCAUAAGCAAAUAGACAGAAACAAUAAAAUUGCAAUGAAAAAUCAAUAAAAGACCUAAUUAUUAUCUAAAAUUAAGUUUUUUUUAAUGAAUAUCUAAAAUUAACUAUAGUGUAAUUUAACCUAAUUAUUAUUUAUUUUCUUCUAUCUCUCUUUCCCAAAUAUAUAAUACUAUAAGAUAAGAUAUGUACUCCACAUAGUUGUCAAACUAUCAUCAUUAUUUAAUCAUCAAUAAGAGAAAUAUCGGUUCAAAUUAAAAGGCUGCUCCUCAUAGAAAAUGUUCAUAGUGAGGUGUCAAUUUUGACCAACAAAGGCUGCCACUAGUUCAACAAAAAUGAAUAUUUUUAUUUUUAUUUGGUCACUAAAACACAAAGAGACUUGAUAAGUAGUAGCUAGACUGAAGUUGGUGGCAAUCCAAAUUAGUCCUAUAAAUAUCAAACAAAGUAUAGUUUAUUCAUAACACACUCACUACUACUUUGGUAACUUACUCAGAACAAGAAAAAACAGACACACAUAAACACACUUGUUUUUUUACUAAAGUUAUUUUUUCUUCCAAUGGCAACUGAAAACAAAAUCCUGAUCCUAGGACCAACAGGAGCUAUUGGAAGACACAUAGUUUGGGCAAGUAUUAAAGCAGGAAAUCCAACAUAUGCUUUGGUUAGAAAAACACCUGGCAAUGUUAACAAGCCAAAGCUUAUUACAGCUGCUAAUCCUGAAACCAAGGAAGAGCUUAUUGAUAAUUACCAAUCUUUAGGAGUUAUUCUACUUGAAGUAAGUGAUUUCAAUUUCUGAAAUAAUUUUAUAUUUUAUACUAAUUAAAUUUUUCUAAUCAAUAUGUCUUUGACUCUGCAGGGUGAUAUAAAUGAUCAUGAAACUCUUGUUAAGGCAAUCAAGCAAGUUGAUAUUGUGAUUUGUGCUGCUGGUAGACUACUAAUUGAGGAUCAGGUCAAGAUUAUUAAAGCAAUUAAAGAAGCUGGAAACGUUAAGGUGAGCAAAUUUGUCACUACACCACACUAAAUAAGUUCAAAUAAGUCAAUCUAAAUAAACUAUUAAGUAAUAGCUCCUUUGCUGGUUAGAUUUCGGCUUGUUAUAUUGAAUGUUGGUACUAAAUUUCUUGUGUCUACAGAAAUUUUUCCCAUCCGAAUUUGGGCUAGACGUGGACCGUCACGAGGCAGUUGAGCCAGUUAGACAAGUUUUUGAAGAAAAAGCGAGUAUCCGAAGAGUAAUUGAAGCUGAAGGAGUUCCUUACACUUACCUUUGUUGCCACGCCUUUACCGGUUACUUCUUACGUAACUUGGCUCAACUCGACGUCACUGAUCCUCCUCGGGAUAAAGUUGUCAUUCUUGGAGAUGGAAAUGUGAAAGGUAGCAAACUUAUUCACAAAACAGUUUUAGUACUAGUAUUCUACUAAACAUACAUCAUUCAAUUGUUUCAACAUUUGCCUUAAUUUUUUUUUUUUUCAGGAGCUUAUGUCACUGAGGCUGAUGUUGGGACUUUUACCAUUAAAGCAGCAAAUGAUCCCAACACAUUGAACAAAGCUGUCCAUAUAAGACUCCCCAAAAAUUAUUUGACCCAAAAUGAGGUUAUUUCUCUUUGGGAGAAAAAGAUUGGGAAGACUCUUGAGAAAACUUAUGUUUCAGAGGAACAAGUUCUCAAGGAUAUUCAAGGUCAGUAAAAUAAACGCUUUAUAAAUAUUGUUAAGAAUUUUUACAAUGUUAAUCAAUCAAUAAAUCGUUAAAAUUAUUUGAUUUUAAUUAUAUCUAUGCUUACUACGCAGAAUCUUCAUUCCCUCAUAACUACUUGUUGGCAUUGUAUCAUUCACAACAAAUAAAAGGAGAUGCAGUUUAUGAGAUUGAUCCAACCAAAGAUAUUGAAGCUUCUGAAGCCUAUCCUGAUGUCACAUACACCACUGCUGAUGAAUAUUUGAAUCAAUUUGUCUAAGUUUGUCAUCCCGGAAAUGUUAAAUAAGACAAAGAUUAUUUUUUCUUAAUAGUUUCACAUGUUGUACCACAUCAAUUAUAUUGUUAGUUGUCCUUGUUGUCUUGUUCUCAAUAAACCUUCCAAUUGAUGUAAUAUUUUACAAAAAUAAUAAUAUUGUAUUGUUCUAUUGUUUGCACAUUUGUGUCACUAGUAUCACUCUAUUAUUUUGUUGUUGCCCGUGAAUGGGUGACUCAAUAAAUUAUUUAAUACCCACGUCAGGAUGGACCGAUCUACCGUAUGAAGCAAUAUUUGUUUGGUCUCGGUUAUAAAUUUAAAUUAUUUACACACAUGCAAAAGAAAAAAAGUAGAAAGAAUGAACCAAUAUUUUUUUAUUUUAUUUUUAUGGGGGUGUUUGUUUGGGAGAUAAAAAAUAUAUUCCUGGGUAUAAGGGCAUUAAAUAUGAUAUUCCUAUGUUUGGUAGAAGGGAACAAAAAUAAUAUACCCAGGAAUAAAUGAUUCCCAGGAAUCUUAUUUACCCGUUGACUCUCUAUUUUUAUUCCCGGGGGUGGGGGGCUGGAAUCUUCAAUUCCUGAGAAUGAAAUCUCCACAUUCAUGACGAAAACCCACCCAUACCCCUAUUUUACCCACGCUUCUUCCCUCCUAAUUUUUCCCACGCGUUUUCUAAAUUAAUAGAAACCCACAUAUAUAUAAACCCCUCUUUGCUCUCUCUUUUCACUCAUCUGGAUCCAGAUCCAUCCAUAACAGGUUUGUGUCUUAUGUUUUGUUUUGUUUUUUGCGUUUUUUUAACUGCUGGACAGAUUCUCGGCCUGCCAGGCUGCUGUACCAGCGGAGCUGGGCCGCGCAAAUGCGAGUUUCGGUGACUGACAUUCGAGCGGGCAUCCACCAUUCUGUUGCUGUUGCAUGUCAAAGGUGUUGGGCAGUCUGCCAACCUUCAAUUAAAUGGCGUGUAACAACUUGAAACAGGGUACUCUUGUUAUGUAUUAAAAAACAAGUAUAUACCCUGACCAAUACCUUUGUUGACUCGCAUAAUUUACUUUGCUUGAUUAAAAAUAACAUGAAAAAUAUUAUUUUUCAUCAAUUUAAUGUAAAAGGGUAUUUUAAUAAUUUUGACAUUUAUUCCUGGGAUUAUACAUUUUAAACCAAACAUAUUUUUAGUAUUCCCAGGAAUUUAGAAAGAAAGUUCCAAGGAAUUCAAAUUGGUAACCAAACACUUUUUUAAAAUAUUCCUAGGAAUAUAAUUCCAAGGAAUAUAUUCCUGGGAAAAUUAUUCCAGGGAAUAAUUUUUGCAUCUGUGAAACAAACGGCCCCUAUAUUAUUGAAAUAAGUGCCCUAAAGGCAUUUGUUAGCAUUCUCCUUAAAAUAAUUAUAUGAUGUGUAUUUUGAUUGUGCACUUAAAUGAUUUGAAUUUGUGGUUGUGACUAUAUAAAAAUUAUUCGACGGCAUGAUCAACAGACCGUGUGAACAAUUGAAAUAUAUUAAAUAAUCAUGUUCAGACAUCCCUUACUUGUAGAGGUGUCAAAUGGACUGGACAACCCAGUUCGGCUUAAGAGUUUUGACUACAUAAAUGAACCAGUCUGACCAAGCCCAUUUGUAAUUGGGCCGCAUAAAAUAUAAUUGAAUGGAUAUAGAAGUAUAAAUAUUUUUUACAUUACCAUUAAAUACUAAUUAAACUCUAGAUUUAUUUCUUCAAUUGAAUCAAAUUAAUACUACAUCCGUCCAUAAUUAUAGGAUCCUUUUGAAAAAUAACAGGAAUUAAGAAAAUUAAAAGUGAUAAUAAAUUUGUUUUUAAUUACAAUUGUUUUUACAAAUUUGUCUUUUAAGAGUGGGUUAGUCCGUUAAUGUAUGUUUACAAUGUAGUAUUUAAUGAUGAUUGAAGAAAAAGAUAUACAAUAAAUAGGGGUAUGGUGGUAAAGAAUUAAUUAAUAUAUUUGGAAAUAGCAAAGAGAUUUUUAUAAAAAGAGACAAAAAAAUUCUCAAAAGGGUCCUAUAAUUAGGGACAGAGACAGUAGUUUAUAAACUUUAGAAUUUUAAAACUUUGAACUAAAUUUAUGCAUUUUUAUUAAGUUGACUUAUUUCAAUAUAUUUUAUUAAUAAAUUUUUAAAGUAGUUGAUAAUGUUUUUAAAAAAUAUAGCGUUUUUUAACAAAAAUAAAAUAAAAGUAUAGAUAGUAGGUCGGUCCGAAGUCCGAUAGGUUAGCCUGACUCGGCCCCAUUUUCAUAUGGAUCAAAUGAGCUAAGGUAAAAAAAAAUACGAGAGUAUUUUUAGUUAGGUUUGUGGUUCGGCCCAAAAUGUGUCAUUUUUUAUGUCUCUACUUACUAGCCAUCUCACCAUUAACAACGAUUUGUCAACUAAACAAUGUCAUCUUCUUUUCUAUUAAAGUUAACCCGGAAGCCCUAAUUUUAACCUAAACUAUAUUGCAUAAAUUUACUGUUUUAACCCUAAUGCUUAAUUCCUUUGUUUAAUCCUAUUAACCCUAUUUCUUGGUUGAAACAAAUUGAACCUAAUCUCCUAUUUUCUUGAAUAAAACAAAUUGGCCCUAUUUCUUCAACAAAACAAAUCGCUUUAUUUCUUGCUUUAAAAAAGAAACAACAACUCAAGUUGGGAUACUCUACUUGACCUAGAAGAGAAAUAACGGAAAGAAGAACUUGCCUUUUUGAGAACUUAUUGUCGGAACUCGGAAGCAAUGGUGAUCUGCUAAGUUUAUGGCGAGUUCGAUUGAUUAUGAGCUGCUAAGUUCGAUUGAGUAAGAGUUCGAUUGAUUAUGAGUUGCGAAGUUCCAUUGAGUAACAGGCAACAAAUCCUUCUUCUCAUGGCGGUAGGGAUGAGAGAUUUUGCUUACAACAAAUUAAUGGCAUGAUCAUAGGAAAGAGAUUUUAGUUUCUAGGUUUAGUAAGAACAAUGGGAUGAGAAAUGAUGAGGUAGAGUUGCAUGUGAAGAUAUGAUGAGGGAGAUAAAGAUGUUGAUAGGUUUUGGAAUAGGAAAGUAAUUUUUAUGAGAGAGGUUGACUACAGCUAUAAAAUAAAUGAUAAUUAUAUUUAUUUGAUACUUCCUAAAUGUUGUUACUUGAGAGUUAAAACGAUCUCUUUCCUGUG